AGUAGUUUGAUCAUGGCUCAGAACGAACGCUGGCGGCAGGCCUAACACAUGCAAGUCGAACGCUGUAGCAAUACAGAGUGGCGCACGGGUGCGUAACGCGUGGGAAUAUGCCCUUGACUACGGAACAACAUCGGGAAACUGAUGCUAAUACCGUAUAAUGUCUUCGGACCAAAGAUUUAUCGGUCAAGGAUUAGCCCGCGUCUGAUUAGCUAGUUGGUGAGGUAACGGCUCACCAAGGCGACGAUCAGUAGCUGGUCUGAGAGGAUGAUCAGCCACACUGGGACUGAGACACGGCCCAGACUCCUACGGGAGGCAGCAGUGAGGAAUAUUGGACAAUGGGCGCAAGCCUGAUCCAGCCAUGCCGCGUGAGUGACGAAGGCCUUCGGGUUGUAAAGCUCUUUCAGAUGCGAAGAUAAUGACGGUAACAUCAGAAGAAGCCCCGGCUAAAUUCGUG
rnacentral:rRNA from 1 species